UACGUAGGGGGCAAGCGUUGUCCGGAUUUAUUGGGCGUAAAGAGCGUGUAGGCGGCCAUACAGGUCCGUUGUGAAAACUGGAGGCUUAACCUCCAGACGUCGAUGGAAACCGUAUGGCUAGAGUCCGGAAGAGGAGAGUGGAAUUCCCGGUGUAGCGGUGAAAUGCGCAGAUAUCGGGAGGAACACCAAUGGCGAAGGCAGCUCGCUGGGACGUGACUGACGCUGAGACGCGAAAGCGUGGGGAGCAAACAGG
rnacentral:rRNA from 1 species